AUUGUCUCUAUUGUAUUCCAUUCUCUCAUAAAUCUCUGAUUAGUGUAAACAUCCUAACCACAUAAAAGAAGAUAAUGUUUAAUUAGGUGUAAAAUUUGUUCUAUACAUUCUAUCUGAAAUCUGAGACACCCUUUUGUAGAUAAUGGCCAUAGGAACAACAUAUAAUAAAAUCAACUCUCUAGGGAUACCUAUGCAGAAGCUAAUUUCAUUUGAAAGUGGAAAUUUGGUGAAAAAUAUUUUAGACACAGUUAACAUUAUAAUUGGUUACAUAAUUG
rnacentral:lncRNA from 1 species